UACGUAGGGGGCGAGCGUUGUCCGGAAUUACUGGGCGUAAAGCGUGCGCAGGCGGUUUGUUAAGUCUGCUGUGAAAGCCCCGGGCUCAACCUGGGAAUGGCCGUGGAAACUGGCGGGCUGGAGUCUGGCAGAGGGGGGUGGAAUUCCGCGUGUAGCAGUGAAAUGCGUAGAGAUGCGGAGGAACACCGAUGGCGAAGGCAGCCCCCUGGGCCAAUACUGACGCUGAGGCACGAAAGCGUGGGGAGCAAACAGG
rnacentral:rRNA from 1 species